GACAGAGGGUGCAAACGUUGCUCGGAAUUACUGGGCGUAAAGCGCGUGUAGGCGGGCCGGAAAGUCGGGCGUGAAAUCCCUGGGCUCAACCCAGGAACUGCACUCGAAACUUCCGGUCUAGAGUGGUGGAGAGGGAAGUGGAAUUCCUGGUGUAGAGGUGAAAAUUCGUAGAUAUCAGGAGGAACACCAGUGGCGAAGGCGGCUUCCUGGACACCAACUGACGCUGGAGACGCGAAAAGCGUGGGGGAGCAAACAGG
rnacentral:rRNA from 1 species